GCUUCCAUUCAGUUGGAUGGUCUGCUCCCUUUAAAUUCAUUAGUGGGAUCCUUUGUGGAUGGUCACUUGGUGUGAUAAUUAUCUACGCCGCCUGACUCUGAAACAAGACUUGUGGGAACCUGCUUAUAACCGUCUCUUUUGGAGACAGCCUACAUUGACAAUUUGACCUCAAAUCAGGUAGGACUACCCGCUGAACUUAA
rnacentral:misc_RNA from 1 species